rnacentral:rRNA from 1 species
AUUGAACGCUGGCGGCAUGCCUUACACAUGCAAGUCGAACGGCAGCACGGGAGCAAUCCUGGUGGCGAGUGGCGAACGGGUGAGUAAUAUAUCGGAACGUGCCCGGUCGUGAGGGAUAACGUAGCGAAAGCUACGCUAAUACCGCAUACGAUCUACGGAUGAAAGCGGGGGAUCGCAAGACCUCGCGCGAUUGGAGCGGCCGAUAUCAGAUUAGGUAGUUGGUGAGGUAAAGGCUCACCAAGCCGACGAUCUGUAGCUGGUCUGAGAGGACGACCAGCCACACUGGGACUGAGACACGGCCCAGACUCCUACGGGAGGCAGCAGUGGGGAAUUUUGGACAAUGGCGCAAGCCUGAUCCAGCAAUGCCGCGUGCAGGAUGAAGGCCUCGG